rnacentral:rRNA from 1 species
UACGGAGGGUCCAAGCGUUAUCCGGAAUCAUUGGGUUUAAAGCGUCCGUAGGCGGCUUUAUAAGUCAGUGGUGAAAGCCCAUCGCUUAACGAUGGAACGGCCAUUGAUACUGUAGAGCUUGAAUUACUUGGAAGUAACUAGAAUAUGUAGUGUAGCGGUGAAAUGCUUAGAUAUUACAUGGAAUACCAAUUGCGAAGGCAGGUUACUACAAGUGGAUUGACGCUGAUGGACGAAAGCGUGGGGAGCGAACAGG